AUUGAACGCUGGCGGCAGGCCUAACACAUGCAAGUCGAGCGGAUGAAGGGAGCUUGCUCCUGGAUUCAGCGGCGGACGGGUGAGUAAUGCCUAGGAAUCUGCCUGGUAGUGGGGGAUAACGUCCGGAAACGGGCGCUAAUACCGCAUACGUCCUGAGGGAGAAAGUGGGGGAUCUUCGGACCUCACGCUAUCAGAUGAGCCUAGGUCGGAUUAGCUAGUUGGUGGGGUAAAGGCCUACCAAGGCGACGAUCCGUAACUGGUCUGAGAGGAUGAUCAGUCACACUGGAACUGAGACACGGUCCAGACUCCUACGGGAGGCAGCAGUGGGGAAUAGUGGACAAUGGGCGAAAGCCUGAUACAGCCAUGCCGCGUGUGUGAAGAAGGUCUUCGGAUUGUAAAGCACUUUAAGUUGGGAGGAAGGGCAGUAAGUUAAUACCUUGCUGUUUUGACGUUACCAACAGAAUAAGCACCGGCUAACUUCGUG
rnacentral:rRNA from 1 species